rnacentral:hammerhead_ribozyme from 1 species
AUCCAGCUGACGAUUCCCAAAUGGGACGAAACGCGCAUCCUGAAU